rfam:Cynopterus sphinx prion protein (PRNP) gene, PRNP-1 allele, partial cds.
CCAUGGUGGAGGCUGGGGUCAGCCCCAUGGUGGUGGCUGG